AAGUGUCUAUUAUUAUCAUCACUAUUUGCAGGAAUUUGAAAAACGUGCUGUGUUUUGCAGACAGGGGCGACCGCCCAGGCCAUGCAUGGCCUGGAGAGCGAGUCAGAGGCGCUACCUUCUCCCCUCCCGGGCUUUGGCAGCAGGUCCCUUUCUGCAGGGAGGGGUCAGCGUGGCGUCGGGGACGUGUGAUCUUGCCCAGCGGCACUGCCAGCGCCAACUCAUAGUAGGUCAGGCCUCUGACUUAUUGAUAGUGACGAGUCCAUUCGAGCUGGCGGGCGCCAGGAUUAACUGCAAGCGGCCUGGGUCCUGUCGGUUCCAAGGCUGGGCCUCGUCGUCGAUCAUCAUGGCCAGAGAGGACAGAGUGACCACGUGAGCAGGGGCUCCCCGGGCCUCACCUGCCCUGAGCAUCCGCCCUUAUGUUGGAGGACCAAGGGCUGCAGGAAAGCUGAAAACCACUCGACUGGACAUUCUCUCAGGCUCUUCUUGUAGCUCAAAGAACCUAUCUUCCUCCUUACUUUUCCCACCGCAUAAAAUACGAUCACUCUC